UCCCUGGCAGUCCAGUGGUUAGGACUCAGCGCUCUCACUUCUGGGGUCCCAGGUUCAAUUCCCGGUCAGGGAA
rfam:Ovis aries breed Texel chromosome 2, whole genome shotgun sequence.